CUCUAGUUAAAGAUUAUCUCUUAAAAUCACAUGCGGCAAGUAUUUCCUUCAGCUGUCGCCAACUGAUUUGAUUUGCUUAUGAAAGUUGUCACUGCGUGGUUUACUUGAGUCGAAUCAGCUUCAGUGAGCCGCUGUGAGGCUAGGUGGUACUUCUGCGGUUAGAAGCGUAGUUAAUUAAUAUUCUUUCAUAUAUAUGAUAUUGGUUUACUUUCCCUUUAUAUACAUUACAUUACGAGUAUUGAUAAUAUAUUUGGAUUUAUACGUGUUGAUCUAGGAAAUCGAUCCACAGGCACUACUUAGUUACAUGCUGGGAGGGGCGGAGGCACACUGCCCGGAACUCCCACAGCCAGACGUGCCCAGUGGCCCGUUGUGAGCGUCGCGUUAGUGUAGCUAUUAACAAGAACAAGUUAUCAAUGAAGAGGUUUGUAGUGACAGUGAUACGGACGCAACCCUGGAGAGUCACCAGUGUCAGUAGAGCAGGAUUAUAAGUCAGUAACAAAAGGUUAAUCGCCAUUGUGAAACGCAGCAUCUCGAUCUUCAUGAUAACUGAGGAAGACGACGCAACUCCGCCGACUGUCAUCCGCACCAGAUGGCGACGAGAGAUCGAAACGGCAGCGGACAAGCACCAAUCAGACGGCGGCUAAUAAGGGAGGGUGACAGUUCCCGGGGUGGAUGACUGACUGCAUGCCUGAUGAGGGCUUCUUUAUUAUUUACGUCACCCGUGCCGAGCAGCGACGAACGAUUGAAACACCAGUGGAUAACUACCCUAUCUUUUAGACAACUGAACUUUACAUCUAUUGGACUUGAGCUCUGAACGGAUCGACAUCGCCACAGUUUUUCUCCUUGCAUUAUUCCCUCGGCAUGUUUUGCUCGCCUAAUUUUACAUGAGGCGGGAAGAGAAGCUGAUGUGCGUUUACUGUACCAGCCAAUCCCUUUACAUUCACGUCUGGUGUUUGUAUAUAAUUUUAUCUCGGAAGUUUGUGUUCUGCUUCAAGAAACAACAACAUAAGCCGUAGAUUUUGUGUUUCUUUUCCACAAGACUUGUCCGUAGUUUAGCGAGGGCCGUAUGUGAGUAAUUGUAAGCACAGGUAGAAGCAGCGAGAGGUACUUAAGUGAGGUGUACUGAAAGGACGCAGGUGACGCGAAAAGAAAAGGUAAAAAAUAUGUACAUUAUGCCGCCUGUGUCUGUGAUGCUUUUGAUGUGUGUGUGUGUGUGUGUGUGUGUGUUUAUACUGGCGGCGAGACGGUGGGAGCAGCCACGUUUGACGGUGACAAAUAUAAAAAAGGGGUAGUAGUCUCUCUCUCUCUCUCUCUCUCUCUCUCUCUCUCUCUCUCUCUCUCUCUCUCUCUCUCUCUCUCUCUCUAACCCUACGUAGGCCUUAUGUGACCCUCAAAUGAAAGGGUUAUGACACCAUCGACGCGUCUCUCUCUCUCUCUCUCUCUCUCUCUCUCUCUCUCUCUCUCUCUCUCUCUCUCUCUCUCUCUCUCUCUCUGUCUCUCUCUCUCUCUAGCCGUCAGGGCGUUAUGCUAACUAAACACGGGCCGCCGCCGCCUCCCUCUCACCGCUGGGAACACAAUGACUGCCAUUUUGCCUGCGCCUCCAAUCCCAUCAAGGAAAACCGUACUAAAUUAACGACCGGCAAGAAAACCACACGCGAUGUAACUACCCACUGGCCUUUCUCACACCCGACUCGUCACUUCCUUACGUCAUUUCUGUUAGGUAAGAUUUUUUUUUUUUUUUUUAGUUUGUGACGUUGGAAGGAGUCUUUACCUAGCUACUACUGCCCCCGAAGUCUUACUCGCUAAUACUGUGUCGUUAGUUGUGAACAGUGGUGUGUUCCCUUUCGUUUCCUUUCUGGCGUCACGAUUUCGGUGAUAUUCUACGUAAAUUGCUCAGAAGAAAUAAAAAUUAUAUGAGAUGAUAUUCUGGGCAAAAAACAACUUAGAUACUGUGUGAUAAUGAAGCGAUACUUUGCGUAAA